rnacentral:rRNA from 1 species
AGUGAACGCUGGCGGUAGGCCUAACACAUGCAAGUCGAACGGCAGCACAGUAAGAGCUUGCUCUUACGGGUGGCGAGUGGCGGACGGGUGAGGAAUACAUCGGAAUCUACUUUUUCGUGGGGGUUAACGUAGGGAAACUUACGCUAAUACCGCAUACGACCUACGGGUGAAAGCAGGGGAUCUUCGGACCUUGCGCGAUUGAAUGAGCCGAUGUCGGAUUAGCUAGUUGGCGGGGUAAAGGCCCACCAAGGCGCCGGUACGUAGCUGGUCUGAGAGGAUGAUCAGCCACACUGGAACUGAGACACGGUCCAGACGCCUACGGGAGGCAGCAGUGGGGAAUAUUGGACAAUGGGCGCAAGCCUGAUCCAGCCAUACCGCGUGGGUGAAGAAGGCCUUCGGGUUGUAAAGCCCUUUUGUUGGGAAAGAAAAGCAGCAGGUUAAUACCCCGCUGUUCUGACGGUACCCAAAGAAUAAGCACCGGCUAACUUCGUG